rnacentral:rRNA from 1 species
UUGAACGCUGGCGGCAGGCCUAACACAUGCAAGUCGAGCGGUAGAGAGGUGCUUGCAUCUCUUGAGAGGCGGCGGGACGGGUGAGUAAUGCUAGGAAUCUGCCUAGUGGUGGGGGAUAACGUUCGGAAACGGACGCUAAUACCGCAUACGAUCUAUGGAUGAAAGCGGGGGAUCGCAAGACCUCGCGCGAUUGGAGCGGCCGAUAUCAGAUUAGGUAGUUGGUGAGGUAAAGGCUCACCAAGCCGACGAUCUGUAGCUGGUCUGAGAGGACGACCAGCCACACUGGGACUGAGACACGGCCCAGACUCCUACGGGAGGCAGCAGUGGGGAAUUUUGGACAAUGGGCGCAAGCCUGAUCCAGCAAUGCCGCGUGCAGGAUGAAGGCCUUCGGGUUGUAAACUGCUUUUGUACGGAACGAAACGGUGAGCUCUAAUACAGUUUGCUAAUGACGGUACCGUAAGAAUAAGCACCGGCUAACUACGUG